rnacentral:snRNA from 1 species
AUACUUACCUGGCAGAGGAGCCACCAUGAUCACGAAGGUGAUUUUCCCAGGGUGAGGCUCUUCCAUUGCACUCUGGAUGUGCUGACAUCUGCAGUUUCCUCAAAUGUGGGAAACUUGACUGCAUUUGUGCUUUCCCUUGGGGGAAAAAAUG